GAACGCACAUUGCGCCCCUUGGUAUCCCGAGGGGCAUGCCUGUUCGAGCGUCAUUUCACCUCUCAAGCCUGGCUUGGUGUUGGGCGACGUCCCCUUUGGGGACGCGCCUCGAAACGCUCGGCGGCGUGGCACCGGCUUUAAGCGUAGCAGAAUCUUUCGCUUUGGAAGUCGGGGCCCCGUCUGCCGGAAGACCUACUCGCAAGGUUGACCUCGGAUCAGGCAGGGAUACCCGCUGAACUUAAG
rnacentral:misc_RNA from 1 species